AGUGAACGCUGGCGGUAGGCCUAACACAUGCAAGUCGAACGGCAGCACAGUAAGAGCUUGCUCUUACGGGUGGCGAGUGGCGGACGGGUGAGGAAUACAUCGGAAUCUACUUUUUCGUGGGGGAUAACGUAGGGAAACUUACGCUAAUACCGCAUACGACCUACGGGUGAAAGCAGGGGAUCUUCGGACCUUGCGCGAUUGAAUGAGCCGAUGUCGGAUUAGCUAGUUGGCGGGGUAAAGGCCCACCAAGGCGACGAUCCGUAGCUGGUCUGAGAGGAUGAUCAGCCACACUGGAACUGAGACACGGUCCAGACUCCUACGGGAGGCAGCAGUGGGGAAUAUUGGACAAGGGGCGCAAGCCCGAUCCAGCCAUACCGCGUGGGUGAAGAAGGCCUUCGGGUUGUAAAGCCCUUUUGUUGGGAAAGAAAAGCAGCAGGUUAAUACCCCGCUGUUCUGACGGUACCCAAAGAAUAAGCACCGGCUAACUUCGUGC
rnacentral:rRNA from 1 species